rnacentral:rRNA from 1 species
AUGGCGGAUGCACCUCUGUACAAGCAGCGCCGCAGGUACACUAGGGAGCUCCACGACGUCGACCUCCAUGGCAACCACAAGCUCCACGUCGUUUGCACAAGCAAGGAUGAAGAUGUGGACAAGAUGUUGUCCACGCUCAGGAGGAAGCUCGGCAGAAUGCCCGUCAAACUAGUCGGCAUUGAUGUCGAGUACAUGCACUACGUGAUGCCACAACGGGCAGCAGUGCUCCAGCUAUGCGUAGAAAAAGAAUGCCUUGUCUACCACAUCUCUACAGCUAAAAACAGAUCAACUCUCGACAACUACAUUGAUAUUCAGGUGGAAUGGAGAGACCCAUACAAUAAAAAGAAGUUUGACUCUUUGGCUGAUGUUGCCGGUAGGAUGAUAGACAUUCACUACCAUGACAUGAAGAAAAAAAUUAACCGCAAGGAGGACCAUACUCUGUGGGGAUUUUGCCCGCUGCCAGAAAAGCUUAUAAAGUAUGCAGCAAUAGAUGCAUUCGCAACAUAUGAGUCAUGGAGAAUCAUCUACGAUGUCAUAAUGGGACUAGGCAGGGCAAAAAGAGACAAAGAAGCAAAGAAGAAGAAGAACAAGGAUGCUCAUUCCAAGCUCCAGCUCCGGCUCCGGCUCGUUCCAGGCUCGGCCUCGCAGGGGGGUGGGGAGGGGGAUCACGACCCCCCUCCCCACCCCCUGCUCGGCCUCGUGCUAACGCAUGAANNNNNNNNNNNNNNNNNNNNNNNNNCAACAAUAGGAUGCACGCAACCCCAAAGCAAGACCCCUAAGAUAGACAGGGAGGCGAUGGGGUGUGAUGGACUCGCCUACGCAUGCGGCGUCGCGGCAUGCCGCGUCGCCGCAUGCUCCAGCUCGUUCCAGGCUCGGCCUCCCCGGGAGGUGGGGAGGGGGGUAACGAUCCCCCCUCCCCACCCCCUGCUUGGUCUCAUGCUAACGCACACAGUGCACUUGGUUGACAAGCGCAGAGCGGACAUUCUGUUUUUCCAACAAUAG